rnacentral:rRNA from 1 species
CCUACGGGAGGCAGCAGUAGGGAAUCUUGCGCAAUGGGCGAAAGCCUGACGCAGCCAUGCCGCGUGAAUGAUGAAGGUCUUAGGAUUGUAAAAUUCUUUCACCGGGGACGAUAAUGACGGUACCCGGAGAAGAAGCCCCGGCUAACUUCGUGCCAGCAGCCGCGGUAAUACGAAGGGGGCUAGCGUUGCUCGGAAUUACUGGGCGUAAAGGGAGCGUAGGCGGAUAGUUUAGUCAGAGGUGAAAGCCCAGGGCUCAACCUUGGAAUUGCCUUUGAUACUGGCUAUCUUGAGUAUGGGAGAGGUGAGUGGAACUCCGAGUGUAGAGGUGAAAUUCGUAGAUAUUCGGAAGAACACCAGUGGCGAAGGCGACUCACUGGCCCAUUACUGACGCUGAGGCUCGAAAGCGUGGGGAGCAAACAGGAUUAGAUACCCUGGUAGUCCACGCCGUAAACGAUGAGUGCUAGUUGUCGGCAUGCAUGCAUGUCGGUGACGCAGCUAACGCAUUAAGCACUCCGCCUGGGGAGUACGGUCGCAAGAUUAAAACUCAAAUGAAUUGACGG